UGAAGAUUAAUCCCCCAUAGUCUCUUUAAAUGGCAUCAUUUUAAGAGUAAAGGUUACGGUAUAAGAUGAGUAUGCGUUCUAUUAGUUUGUUGGUGAGGUAAUGGCUCACCAAGACUACGAUAGAUAGGGGCCCUGAGAGGGGGAUCCCCCACACUGGUACUGAGACACGGACCAGACUCCUACGGGAGGCAGCAGUGAGGAAUAUUGGACAAUGGAGGAAACUCUGAUCCAGCCAUGCCGCGUGCAGGAAGACUGCCCUAUGGGUUGUAAACUGCUUUUAUACAGGAAGAAACCGCUCUACGUGUAGAGCUCUGACGGUACUGUAAGAAUAAGGAUCGGCUAACUCCGUG
rnacentral:rRNA from 1 species